CAGUAGCCACGGGAAUACGAAGGGUGCAAGCGUUAAUCGGAAUUACUGGGCGUAAAGCGUGCGUAGGCGGUUUGUUAAGUCUGCUGUGAAAUCCCCGGGCUCAACCUGGGAAUGGCAGUGGAUACUGGCAAGCUAGAGUGUGUCAGAGGAUGGUGGAAUUCCCGGUGUAGCGGUGAAAUGCGUAGAGAUCGGGAGGAACAUCAGUGGCGAAAGCGAGGUCCUGGACCCUUUCUGACGCUGAGACGCGAAAGCCAGGGGAGCGAACGGGAUUAGAUACCCCUGUAGUCCCUGUCUCUUAUAC
rnacentral:rRNA from 1 species